rnacentral:rRNA from 1 species
AGUGAACGCUGGCGGUAGGCCUAACACAUGCAAGUCGAACGGCAGCACAGUAAGAGCUUGCUCUUACGGGUGGCGCGUGGCGGACGGGUGAGGUAUACAUCGGAAUCUACUUUUUCGUGGGGGAUAACGUAGGGAAACUUACGCUAAUACCGCAUACGACCUACGGGUGAAAGCAGGGGAUCUUCGGACCUUGCGCGAUUGAAUGAGCCGAUGUCGGAUUAGCUAGUUGGCGGGGUAAAGGCCCACCAAGGCGACGCUCCGUAGCUGGUCUGAGAGGGUGAUCAGCCACACUGGAACUGAGACACGGUCCAGACUCCUACGGGAGGCAGCAGUGGGGAAUAUUGGACAAUGGGCGCAAGCCUGAUCCAGCCAUACCGCGUGGGUGAAGAAGGCCUUCGGGUUGUAAAGCCCUUUUGUUGGGAAAGAAAAGCAGCAGGUUAAUACCCCGCUGUUCUGACGGUACCCAAAGAAUAAGCACCGGCUAACUUCGUG